CGCAUUCGCGAUAAGUACUAACGAAGUGCAGCCUGGGGAAUCCAGAGCUGAGGACAUAGACCGCCUGUUGCUGUGCACAUCACCAGCGCUGAGCUGCCCAAUGUGUCACAUUUUUCUGUCAGACCGUCUCUCCCCAGCAGAAUCCUUACCUCCCAAGCCUCCAGUCGUUCCACUGGGAUGGCUUUUGAAACCUGGAUUACGGGGAACUUUCCAGCCAUCUUGGUUUGUCCUGCUACUGAGUGGCUUCCUGCCUGGGGUGAUAUCAGGGAGAAGGGGGGGAGACCCCCCAGUCCCCACCUUUCUCCCCCAUUUAAAGGAAGAGGCAGCGUGGGGAAGGCCCUGCCCCUUGAGUGAGCUCUUUUUCCCAAGGCUUCCUGCCACACGGGCAGCAUGGGACAAAGGGCCGGCUUGCAGGUGGAAAGCACAAGGGGAACCAAAAGAAAGAGAACCAUAAUAAUGGCCUAUUCCUUACUCCCGCGCCUCGGGUGCCCCUGGCCCCACACAAGCCAGAGACACAGCCCUCAAUAGGCGCUGCAGUGACCCCCACCUCGCAAGCGAGGGAGCCGAGGCGCCGAGGGAGGGGAGCAGGAUUGGAACUCGGGCCAAGACAGCCCCAGAGUCCAGGUCCUAGAAUUGCAAGGAGCUGAAACAUGUGCCAGAAGUGCCAUCGCCAGCACUAACCCAGCUGCCAUCCCACUGGCGGUCCCUACGCGUCAUCUGACUCUUCCAGCAACUCCAGGAUGUGGCCACCACGAUGCCCACCUUGCAGAUGAGGAAACUGACUAGGGAGCCCCAAGGAGGCAGGAGCGGGGCUGCUCACUCGCCCCGAUUUCUGAAAUGGCUCGUGCUGGCUGUGGUGUGCCCUCCUCAGCCCUCCGGACCCGAGCUGCUUUAACCCGCUGACCUGCGACUCCCCGGGGCUGAGAUAAGCUGCAAGGCUGGCCCAGAACGCUCUCUCCUGAAUUUGCAUCCAGAGUUCUUUCUCCCACAUUCGAAAUGCAAGCGCUGCUGGACGACUGGAUCCCUCAGAGCCCUGGGAAUCCACGGGACUUACCCACCCAGUUCCAGCUAUGCCAGGGUCGGGGAACCAUAGGCUCUUGGGGUCUGGUCCUAGCCAGGACCUCAGUUUCCCCAUGUAUAAGAUAGACGUGCUCACUGUCAGACUGGAGAAUUGCUCUGGGUGUUGAUGCUUGUCUUGGGCCCCUGCUCCUUGGCUUCUCGUCUCAGAAAACAGCCUGGCCCUGCCCCAGACCCUUGCUAAGCCUCUGUCUCAGCAGGGACGGAGCAGCCCUGGACCAGGGGGUCAGCCACAAGUCCGAGCUCCGCUCCUGGUGCCUUCUCACUGCAGCCUGAGUGAGCGUGCCAGGUACCCCCCACGUAGGGGGCACUUGACAUCACCACCCCUCCUUUCCCUGCCUGGGCAGAGCAGGUCGCUUCUCCAGGCCCCAGGCUCUGGGCGGCUGCAAUGGCCGCUCCCCUCUGCCCAGCCUCGCACCAGGGCUGUGUGAAGCCAGGGCAACACGCCGGGUGGGAAAGAGCUUUGCAGAUGGAAAACUUGGCCCAUUGGGAAGAUUUAUUGCCGUGACGGUAAGUGUGUGGUCCAAAGGCCAUCGGGGCCUGACAGCCCCGACCCAGAAGGCCGUGCUGGAGCCCAGGCCCCUUUCCCUCCGUCAGUGAUGAAGGAGCAGAUGACCUUCUCCCCAGGGCCCUGACUUCUGGUGGUAUGCCAGCCAGGCCUGGGCUCUCUUUCAACCAACAUCUUGCCUCUUAUUUUGGCAUGUCUGUCGCCCGAGCAGGGCCCUGGUCAGCACCUCGAUGACCCAGGUUUGGGGAGGAUACACAGGCAGCCCAAACCCCUGGAUAAACCUGGAGAAGCAGGCCAAGCCCUCACUCCCUCUCAGCCCCCAAGGCCUGUCUCAUCUCCCUUUUCUCCUCUAACCUGCUAUCCAAGGGGGGCCUUGCCCUGCCUGUGGCCCCCGCCAGCUUCCCCCCCUCCCUCAUACCCCCUCCAUUUCCACCCUUGCCACCAGAGACCUUUGGAAAUCAAGGAUUCAGGCAGAUCUCUCCUGCUGGGUGCCUUCUGCCAAGUGUCCCGGCCAGUGUAGAGCCCCAAGGGGGCAACAGGGGCCAAAGGAGAGCAAGAGUGUCCCUGGGCUCUGUAGCCUGUGGACCCCUGGCCCGCUCGAGUGGCCUCCCACUGCUCCUGGGCCCUGGAUCCUGACCGAGAGGCACCCACACUCCUGCCCACAAGAGGCUGUCCCAGGUGCACACAGUACCUGCUCCCUUUCCCCUCUGCCUGGACCCCACCCCUUCCCUUGCACCUGACAUCUCCUCACCUACAUCAAGCCUCGCUCAGGGCCCUCUUGCCAUGCUGCCUCCAGUCUGUGUCAGGGGACCCUGUCUGUGUCCCUUCGGCAGGGUGAGCUCCUUAUGUCAGAGCUGCAGGUCUCUCUCGGGUCCGUGAGCGAGUGGGCAAAGGCGCAGCAGCCUCGUGGCUGGGGCUUGGAGCCCAGCUCUGUGCCUGCCUCCCGAAAUGCUUGUCUGAGCCCCAAACGGAUGGACGACCCUUGUCACCCUGCGCGUGGCCACCCCAGGCCAUUGGGAGUGCUGUGACCUCAGGCUCAGCCAGGCUGAGCUAUACUUAGACACCGGGGCCAGGGCAAGCUUCUGGGCCCGAGAAGGCAGCGGAGCCCACAGCAGGGCCCCAGGGGCACCUCCUCAUCUAGGGGGACGGUCCCCGUGUAAGAGGCCGUCACCCAGACCGGGCGCUGUUGGCUCCCACUGCCCCCAAAAAAGGCCAAGGAAAAAUUCUGUUUGAACAAA